rnacentral:rRNA from 1 species
UACAGAGGGUGCGAGCGUUGUCCGGAAUCACUGGGCGUAAAGGGCGCGUAGGUGGCGGCCCAAGUCUGUGGUGAAAGCUCGAUGCUCAACAUCGAGUCGGCCACGGAGACUGGGUGGCUCGAGCACUGUAGGGGCAGAUGGAAUUCCGGGUGUAGCGGUGGAAUGCGUAGAGAUCCGGAAGAACACCGGUGGCGAAGGCGGUCUGCUGGGCAGUUGCUGACGCUGAGGCGCGACAGCGUGGGGAGCAAACAGG